CCAGUUUCACCUUUGCUAGUCAAAGGCAAAGAAGAUAGGACUUAUACCUGCAAUUAAAGUGGGCACAGUUCUGCUUUAAUAUCUAUUAACUCUGGAGUAACAAAAGCUAAGAGAAGAAUGACUAAAACAAGACUCACAGCAGGAUUAAUUUGGAGCUUGGCAUUCUCAUCUUCCAUUAGGGAUGUCUGCAUCAUGUACAGCAUCAACAUCGUGGCAAGGUGUCCUCUUUCCUAUAAACACACUUUUGCCUUUGGAGACUGUUUGCAUUGAAGGGGAAAAAGUCAUGAAAUUGAAGCCCUGGAGAAAAUAAUUUAUGCUCAAGAAACACAUUUUAGCCUUUCUGUCUGAACACGUUUAUUUUCUAUUCCAACUUCAUUCUUCAUCACUGUCACCCAUCCACUCGGCCAUUUGUAUUUGAGAAGUCAGGGGACAGGAGAACAUUUGCUCUUUGUGUUUCUGCCACUGUCAAGAGCUGUAGCAGAAACUAGAGAGCCAUAAUGUUACAGUUCCAGUGACUAUGUGUCUCUGAGAAUCUUAAUAAAAGCAAACUAAUUUUCAGUAAGGGACAACCUCACAACUGAUAAAUAUGUAAAUAGAGUAAAAUAUAUUGGGGAAAAAAUCCAGAGUAUGAAUAUGAUAUGAAGACAACUGCAGAAAUAAUCUUUCUGAUUUAUAAAUAUGA